rnacentral:tRNA from 1 species
UCCUGAUAACUCAGUUGGUAAAGAAUCUGCCUGCAAUGCAGGAGACCCUGGUUUGAUUCCUGGGUUGGGAA